rnacentral:rRNA from 1 species
AUAAUGGGUCAGCGACUUAUAUUCUGUAGCAAGGUUAACCGAAUAGGGGAGCCGAAGGGAAACCGAGUCUUAACUGGGCGUUAAGUUGCAGGGUAUAGACCCGAAACCCGGUGAUCUAGCCAUGGGCAGGUUGAAGGUUGGGUAACACUAACUGGAGGACCGAACCGACUAAUGUUGAAAAAUUAGCGGAUGACUUGUGGCUGGGGGUGAAAGGCCAAUCAAACCGGGAGAUAGCUGGUUCUCCCCGAAAGCUAUUUAGGUAGCGCCUCGUGAAUUCAUCUCCGGGGGUAGAGCACUGUUUCGGCAAGGGGGUCAUCCCGACUUACCAACCCGAUGCAAACUGCGAAUACCGGAGAAUGUUAUCACGGGAGACACACGGCGGGUGCUAACG